CGGGUGCACUGAUUCGGCCGGGCCUUUCCCUCUGUGGAACCCCAUGGCCUUCACUGGCUGUGCGGGGGAAACAGGACUUUUACUGUGAAAAAAUUAGAGUGCUCCAGGCAGGCCUAUGCUCGAAUACAUUAGCAUGGAAUAAUAGAAUAGGACGCGUGGUUCUAUUUUGUUGGUUUCUAGGACCGCCGUAAUGAUUAAUAGGGACAGUCGGGGGCAUCAGUAUUCAAUUGUCAGAGGUGAAAUUCUUGGAUCUAUUGAAGACUAACUACUGCGAAAGCAUUUGCCAAGGAUGUUUUCAUUGAUAAGGAACGAAAGUUAGGGGAUCGAAGACGAUCAGAUACCGUCGUAGUCUUAACUAUAAACUAUGCCGACUAGGGAUCGGACGAUGUUAUUUCUUGACGCGUUCGGCACCUUUCGAGAAAUCAAAGUGCUUGGGCUCCAGGGGGAGUAUGGUCGCAAGGCUGAAACUUAAAGAAAUUGACGGAAGGGCACCACCAGGGGUGGAACCUGCGGCUUAAUUUGACUCAACACGGGGAAACUCACCAGGUCCAGUCACAGUGAGGAUUGACAGAUUGAGAGCUCUUUCUUGAUUCUGUGGGUGGUGGUGCAUGGCCGUUCUUAGUUGGUGGAGUGAUUUGUCUGCUUAAUUGCGAUAACGAACGAGACCUUAACCUGCUAAAUAGCCCGUACUGCUCUGGCAGUUCGCCGGCUUCUUAGAGGGACUAUCGG
rnacentral:rRNA from 1 species